AUAGCUUUUUAUCAAAACUUUAUGCGUGCAGAUAACUUUCAUCUUUAUGUUUUAGUAAGUUAUACAAGUUCUAUUGCAAAUGGUGUUUUAUCGCUGUAAUAGAAAAUAAUCAUGUUCAUGCACUCUACUAAUUUGAGUAGUAGAAGGUUAAUUAUACUUCUACUCUGGCAAUUUGGGGCUGUAACGAUUUGGUUUAUUCUUUAUAUCCCACUUAAUUAUCUAGUUAACUCUUUUUUUUUUUUUUUUAUCUCACUCCGUGAACUCAUUGGUGACAUGUGAAUUCAAGAUGGACCUAAAUACGAUCAGUAUUCUUGCUUGAUAAGCCAUACACAUGCAAUGGCAAGAUCUCGAGCGGACGUAGACGUCGGAGAAGAGCUUCUCCAAUCCCUGCGCCGUCGAAAGUUGUUCUGACAUAGAAAGAUAACCAGGUUGAUGGCAAGCGGCGCUGUUGUUUGGGCGAAGUCUUCAGAGACCGAUCCUAAAGCAGUGGGGCUAGAUUGAACUCAGAGGAGUAGUUUGAAAACAGCCUUACCAAGCACUGAUUUCGAUUUUUUUUGUUCUCGGAGUCUACAAACUUGGAUUCAAGAGCAAACUACGACAAUACACAACGUCAAUGCAUGACCGAUCUGGUAAAUAGUAGAAGAUCCAAAAUAAAGCUGUAAUGUUGGCAGACGAAGACAUGUUUUACUCGAAGAACAAGAGGUUUGUACCAAAACAAUUAGUAACUGAUUGCACAGCCAUACCCCAUUUGAUCGAAGAGAAAUGAGAUGUACACAUCGCACGCAACACCUUCUCACUAUAAAAGGGGUUCGUCUGCAUCAUUAAAACCAAAAGGGUAAGCUUAUUAGUAAAUUCACAAGCUCAAUUAUUCCAUGCUAUAGUAUGAUAAAAAUUGCAGUGGAUCAGAUGAAUGGUUCCUACCGUCACCGUCAUCUUCCAUAUUAUAAUCAUCUUCAUCAUCAUCAACAUCAAAACCCUGCAAGACCAUAGCUUGAUCAGAAACAUUUUGUUUUCCCACACAUGGUCCUAAUCCUACUAGAAACAAGAAAAUAAUAAGAACGGAAACAAAUUAUACAUGAAACUAAAUUAAAAUAGCCCUUAUCCAUUCUGUACCAACAUGCCUCCUAUUUCUGAACAAGUGAGGAAUCAGGUAGCAAAUAUAAGCAAUGAAAAUCGCAACGGUGAACAUAAACAAUGUACAACGAAUGACCAUUUUGAAGUGAUUUGUAUAGAUGAUUUAAAAAUCUAAUAAACAUAUAAGACCCAAUAUUUCUUUUACGAACCUUAUAAUAAUCAUCAUCACUAAAGUCCUCCUCCUCUUGUUCCUCCUCCUCUUCAUUUUCAUCUUCAUCCUCACCUUCACCUUCUUUCUUUUCUUUUGUAUCAUUUUGGCCCUACAAAGGAGAAACGUUAUCGGCAAAGAAAGUUAAUGCGUACAAAAAUUAAACUACCAAUGACAAGAAAAAUCUUUAGAACACAAAUAAUAGAUUCUUUUCAUAAACAAAUGUUGAUACAGUGAUCUUUGACCCAAAGUAUUGCAGUUAGAGAGACUAAAGACUUUCUCAUACCUGACGCUGCUCGAGCUUUUCAAAUAAAUCCAACUUCUCCAGCCCUGUUAGAGUGACAUUUUUAAUCAGUUAUGUUCAAAAUUCCUAAAGAACAGAGAAAAACACAAAAACAUAUGAUAGAAGACAGCACAAAAAGGAAAGCAUCUAAUCUUAUAAGACCUGAGUUAGGAUUCCAUCGAACUCUCUUUCGACCUGGCUGCUGCACCCUUGAACCUGAUACACCAUUGCAUCAGCAUGCAUGUAAAAAGCAUGAAGACAACAUAAAACAAAAUAUAGCAUUCUGAAUACUAUUCCAAUUUUUUUUAAUAUGGCUAUUUAGAGUAGAGACCUCCGGUCAGUUCUUGAGGAAAUCCCUUGAGCUCCAAUAUACUAAAAAGAGAACCGCGUCUUAUCGUGGUUUUUGGCUUUGUUCUGUCAGAAUAUCUUUCUACAUCUUCGUUUUGCCUCUCUGCAACAUGUUCAAGAAGUAUAUUAUUAUAGAACAUAACCUGCUAUGAUUACAAAAGAAGCCAAAAAAUGAUUAAGAAUCAAAUCAGAAGUAAUACGGUAUUCGAAUAAAAUGCCAGUACGGACCUAUAUUUUUAAUGAACUGACAGGUUGUAACUUGUAAGCAUAAAGAAAAGUAUUAAGCAUUCACAUGUCGGAUAUAAUGCAACUAUAGCAAAAAUCAGCUUAAAACAUAUAUUGUGAACACGAAAUAGGAGCAGUGCCGUGUGCAACAAAUAUCCUUUUGAGAACAACGAAUGUUACAAAUUAUUGUGAAUUAUGAAUCUUCUUUGAUUAAACAUUUGAUGAUUGUGUGCCACUUUUCAUAAUGGCCACAAACAGAAGAAAAUGUGUUGUUUUUGGAAGGGAUGUGUGAACUUCUCGUUACAUCUUACUAUAAAAUCUUGAUGAGAUCAGUUUCACAUUCAUUAUAAAUAUGUAUUCAUCUCCAACCAUAUCCAUAUUGUUGACUAUUUUUUAAGAUCAAAGCUUUCCAACACAUCUGUGCGAAUUGCUUCGGAGUUGCGUAUACAGAAGUUUACCCAUACACACCAUCUAAACAUCUCUACAGCGUUGCUAAUCUAUUUAACGAGUUGAAAACAUACCAGAACAACGAAAAUGCACUCCGCAACAUCAAAAGAAUGACCAUGAUCCAUAUCUUAUCGAGAAAAAGAAAGGGAGAUACACAUGCUUCAUAGAUUGCUUAUUCCACUACCAUGAGGACUGAUAAAUGAAAAAUAAUAAUGAAGUAUAAAGAACAUCAUGCUAACCAUUCGAAGUGCUUUGCUCAAGAUAAUAAGGAGACUCUUUCCAAAUUUUUUGGAACUUGCGAGUUUGAUUGAUUAAGUUUUCUUCCUCAAUAACAGCGUCUGUUUUUUGCUGUAGAUCAGAUAUACCUUUGGGAAUAGGCAAAUCAAUGUCCUGCAAAGAAAAGCUUCGACGUUAAAUAUGAAAAGCCUCUAAUUCAGGGAAACCUAGCAAACUGCCAAACAUAUGCAAAAACUGCAGUAACAAAAGCUCACAGGAAAAAGCACAAAGGGCUCUUGCUUAGCAAAGCCAAAACCGCCACCACCCGAAAAUCCACCGCGACCACGCCCUCUGUAUGCCAUUGAACUUCACAUACAAAUGCAACAAGGAAUUACUCAAUAGACAUUAAUGCAAAAAAUAAAAUAAAAAUAAAAAAAGCAAAAUUCGGCAAAAUAAUAUUACCCAAUUUCUGCAGAAGCAGUGACUACUGAGAAGGGAUAAGUUCGACUCUACCGCGGGAGACAAGAUUUAUGUUGAAGACAGAAGGGAAAAAGGAUGGAGCAGAUAACUAUUGAGAGUGCGAUAUGGGUUUGAUUCACUCUCCUUUGAUUUGAUUUGGGAGCUGCGCAGAGAAACGAAGAGAGUGGAUGAUGAGAGACAAGAAAAGACAGAAACGAGGGAUUUAUUGCAUGUUGGUCCUUAAACCAUUUAAUGGACUUUAAUCAUGUAUUAGGCUGUAACAAAAGUAACUUAUAUGGGCUUUAGGAAUUAAUAGGAGGGAGUGAGGGUAAGAGUUUUCCUAUUCAACCCAAUAUGUAUCGUGUUCAAAAUCAUCUCUCAUUUUAUUUGUGUAAAUUAAAGAAGUAUUAUUACUUGUAUUAAAAAAAAUUGGGAGCUUUGAACCGUGCCACAGUGAGUUGAAGAAAGGGCCUUAACAACAAGUACACUGACAUUCAUAAGUAUAGUACGUCAAUUGGUAAUGUAUGUCAAUUUGUAAAUUUAACAACGUACCUCUCCUCGAAUUCUCAGACUUUUGUUGUUGAGCACAUCGACAUGCUUCGCCUGCGCAUGUAAGAAAAGAUAUGGACAAAAUGUAAAUUUAACAAACCUGGGUAGAUGAAGAGAAGAAAUUCAAUUUAGGAAAACCGGAAAAAAAACAAAGGAAGAUGAGUAUAUGGUAAUAAGAUAUAUACAUUAAUUCUGCCAUACAAACACCACAUAGGCAUGAUUUUUCACACAGACAACGCAACAAUUAUCUAAAACGAAAAGUAGCACAACUUCUCUAAAAUGAUAGGCAAGUUUUGGCGUACUUUGAGACAAUUGCAUAGACACCCUUAACUUACAUCAGAACACCAACUCGUCCCUUCAAGCUUUGCACUCUUAUUGUCUGAUGACAAAGAGAAGUUAGAUGGUUCGCCCUACACGUCCCCCCCCCCCCCCCCCGGGCUUCUUUUUCGUAGAUGGUUCGUGUUCCUCUUUUGCUUUCAACUAUACCCCACAAUUAAAAAGGAAUUGAAUUUUUUACUCAAACCCUAAAACAUGAUAUUUCGAUCAACACACCCAAUGUAUAAAAUUAAAAGUAAUAAGAAAGAUUGAUACAAAGCAGCUAUGGAAAGAACAAAGAGAGCUGAGAAUUGUUACCCAUGUUGCAGGUCAAAAAAAGGAAUCAUACUUUCGUUAUGAUUCUCUUUGCUUCUUCAGACCUUGCUUUCUAUACUUCCUUCGACCUCUCUCAGAAACUGGGGUAUAGUUUCUAGGGAUGGUUCGGUAUGGGAUCCCAAACCGAAAAUGGGAUCCCAAAUUCCAAACCAAAAAUUUUCAACAGGCGGAUGAAGAACAACUGCUCACCUUCCCCUUUUGGUUUGAUGUUGCAGGGAACUCUUUCGGAUCAGAGUGCAUUGAUUCUAGCACUACGCCGAUACACACAAUCCCUGCUUGCUUUUUAUAUCAUAUUUACCCAUCAAACUCAAACAAAAAUAUAUUUAUAAAAACAAAUCACAGAGGAUUUUGCAGGCUUACACGGAGAGAAGAGGAGAAGGAGGAUCAGAGAAAAGGAGUGUGCGGUCUGUAUAUACAGGAGGUGAAAUACAGAGCAAAUCACACUAGGGUUUUGUGGCCCAUGUUUGAUUUACCAAAAUAUCCCUUCAAAUCUAUUCUGUGGGCUUUCAUUUUCAGUUACCCUAAGUCCAGCCCAGUUGUCCCAAUGCAUUCUUAUUGUUUAUUCCACAAGGACCACUACUUGGAUACGUUCUUAUAUGUAAAGAAGUCAUUUCUUGUUAUAUAAGAUAUACGACAUCAUUUCACAGCACAAACGUCACAAUUGAAAUUGAUUGUUUUCUUUAUCAUCCUCUUAAGGUUGUUUACGAUAUGAAGAUCAUUAUAUAUGGUAACAAAUAACAUCAUCAUGAUGAAAUGUCAAUUUGUUUAAUUUAUGUAAGGAAUUAAGCAAUGUCUGUCGAGAAAGAUCAAUACCUCUUAUCUUGAAAUGAUAUUUUUUUUAAGGAAAUUCAUAGCUUUUUAUCAAAACUUUGUGUGCAGAAAACUUGCAUCUUUGUGUUUUAGUAAGUUAUACAAGUUCAAUUGCAAAUGGGGUUUUAUCGCUGUAAUAGAAAAUAAUCAUGUCCAUGCACUCUAGUAAUUUGAGAGUUGUAUAAGGUUAAUUAUACUUCCACUCUGGCAAUUUGGGGCCGUAACGAUUUGGUUUAUUCUUUAUAUCCCGCUUAAUCAUCUAGUUAACUGUUUUUUUUUUUUUUAUCUCACUCCGUGAACUCAUUGGUGGCAUGUGAAUUCAAGAUGGACCUAAAUACGAUCAGUAUUCUUGCUUAUUAAGCCAUACACAUGCAAUGGCAAGAUCUCGAGCGGACGUAGACGUCGGAGAAGAGCUUCUCCAAUCCCUGCGCCGUCGAAAGUUGUUCGACAUAGAAAGAUAACCAGGUUGAUGGCAAGCGGCGCUGUUGUUUGGGCGAAGUCUUCAGAGGCCGAUCUUAAAGCAGUAGGGCUAGAAUGGACUCAGAGGAGUAGUUUGAAAACAGCCUUACCAAGCACUGAUUUCGAUUUUUUUUGUUCUCGGAGUCUACAAACUUGGAUUCAAGAGCAAACUACGACAAUACACAACGUCAAUGCAUGACCGAUCUGGUAAAUAGUAGAAGAUCCAAAAUAAAGCUGUAAUGUUGGCAGACGAAGACAUGUUUUACUUGAAAAACAAGAAGUUUCUACCAAAAAAAUUAGUAACUGAUUGCAC
rnacentral:lncRNA from 1 species